AUACGGAGGAUGCGAGCGUUAUCCGGAUUUAUUGGGUUUAAAGGGAGCGUAGGCGGGAGCUUAAGUCAGCGGUUAAAUGGUGCGGCUCAACCGUGCCCUGCCGUUGAAACUGGGUUUCUUGAGAGUGCAAGAGGCGGAUGGAAUUCAUGGUGUAGCGGUGAAAUGCUUAGAUAUCAUGAAGAACUCCGAUUGCGAAGGCAGUCCGCUGGGGCACGUCUGACGCUGAUGCUCGAAGGUGCGGGAAUCAAACAGGAUUAGAUACCCUGGUAGUCCGCACGGUAAACGAUGAUUACCCGCUGUCGGCGGUAGACAGUCGGCGGCCAGGCGAAAGCGAUAAGUAAUCCACCUGGGGAGUACGCCGGCAACGGUGAAACUCAAAGGAAUUGACGGGG
rnacentral:rRNA from 1 species